rnacentral:misc_RNA from 1 species
AACUCCUUGUAUAACUCAUCCCUGUAAUCAGAGAUCAGAAACAACACUUAAGAAUUCACAUAUCCCCAUACACAUAGAUGGGCGCAAUUCCUCCAAGCUUUUAUGGAUAGAACGUCCAAUUUUCUUUAAUUGGAAUAAUCCACAUUCAAGUAUAACUUAUAAGAUUUUAUCUAAAAUUUUGAUUGAAUUUUGAUAAUAUUGGCGUCAAUUAUAACCAAACUUGUAAGAGCAUAUGCAAAAGCAAAUGUGAUUCUCGAACUACGAUGUCUAGAUGACAUCUAAUUUCAUUCCCAUCUCAUUUCCAAAUCAAAUCAAAUGUGUUUGAAGCGUACAUGUUUCAAUUAAAACAUCAUAUACGAAACAACUGAUAAAAUAUCAAUAACCUUUCCCAAG